AUCGUAACUCUAUUUUGCUUUCAUUGUAGUUUUCGGCGAACAACAGUCUGUUUCUCUCUCUUACCUAGCUCGAUCUACCCAGCCAAAGCCUGGAAGAAAUUGGCAAACUCCCUGGCUGUUGUCUCCAGUAUUCUCUUGCUCGUCGAACACCGAAGAGAUGAAAGAGAGUAGCAAGAGUGAUAGUAGAAAUUCGAAAACUCCUUCAACUGGUUCCCUUCCGCUGAUUCUGGAUAUAGAUAAAUUUAAGGGUGAAUUUUCAUUUGAUGGAUUAUUUGGGAACUUGGUAAAUGAAUUACUUCCAUCUUUUCAAGAAGAAGAAUCAGAUUCAGCGGAAGGGCAUGGAAAUAUUGGAGGGAGUGAUGCCUUAGCUAAUGGGCAUUUAAGAGCCCCCACUGAUGCAGCGAAACUUUUACAAGGGCUGUCCCCUUUGUUUCCAGAAGUAGAUGCUCUCUUGUCUCUGUUUAGAGACUCUUGCCGAGAGUUGAUUGAUCUUCGGAAGCAGAUUGAUGGGAAGCUCUCCAAUCUGAAGAAAGAUGUUUCCGGCCAAGAUUCUAAGCACCGCAAGACACUUGCUGAGCUGGAAAAAGGUGUAGAUGGAUUAUUUGGUAGCUUUGCAAGGUUGGACUCACGUAUUUCAAGCGUUGGACAGACUGCUGCUAAAAUAGGAGAUCAUUUGCAAAGUGCAGAUGCUCAGAGGGAAACUGCCAGCCAAACAAUAGAACUCAUCAAGUACUUGAUGGAGUUUAAUGGCAGCCCAGGCGAUUUAAUGGAACUUUCGCCUUUGUUUUCAGAUGACAGCCGCGUUUCUGAGGCUGCUUCAAUUGCACAGAAAUUACGUUCCUUUGCUGAGGAAGAUAUGGGAAGACAAGGCAUAUCUGUACCAUCAGUUAUGGGAAAUGCAACUGCUAGCAGAGGGUUAGAAGUUGCAGUUGCUAAUCUUCAGGAUUACUGCAAUGAACUGGAGAACAGAUUAUUGGCUCGAUUUGAUGCGGCAUCACAGAGAAGAGAGUUGUCCACCAUGGCAGAAUGUGCCAAAAUUUUAUCUCAGUUUAACAGGGGCACUAGUGCUAUGCAACAUUAUGUGGCAACACGUCCGAUGUUUAUUGAUGUGGAAGUCAUGAAUGCAGACGCCAGAUUGGUUCUUGGUGAUCAGGUUUCUCAGGCUAGUCCUAGUGAUGUUGCUCGUGGGCUUUCUUCAUUAUACAAACAAAUUACAGAUACUGUCCGUAAAGAGGCAGCCACAAUUAUGGCAGUAUUUCCUUCUCCUAAUGAUGUCAUGUCAAUUUUAGUGCAGCGAGUUUUGGAGCAGCGAGUUACGGCUCUCUUGGACAAACUGUUAGUCAAACCUUCUCUUAUGAAUUUACCUUCUAUGGAAGAAGGCGGACUUUUGUUAUAUCUCAGAAUGCUAGCGGUAGCAUAUGAAAAGACUCAGGGACUUGCUAGAGACCUACGAGCUGUGGGAUGCGGUGACUUGGAUGUUGAGGGCCUCACAGAAUCUCUCUUCUCUUCACACAAGGAUGAAUUUCUUGAACAUGAGCAGGCUUCUCUUAGACAGCUAUAUCAAGCAAAGAUGGGAGAAUUGCGUGCUGAGAGCCAGCAGCUUUCUGAGUCAACUGGUACAAUUGGGCGAUCAAAGGGAGCUUCUUUAGCUUCUUCACAACAACAGAUAUCUGUUACUGUUGUGACAGAAUUUGUUCAUUGGAAUGAAGAAGCAAUAUCAAGAUGUGCUCUGUUUUCAUCUCAACCUGCUACCCUUGCAGCCAAUGUGAAAGCAGUGUUCACUUGCUUGCUAGACCAAGUAGGGCAAUACAUAACAGAUGGUCUUGAAAGGGCUAGAGACAGCCUGACUGAAGCUGCAGCUUUGAGGGAAAGGUUUGUUCUGGGCACAAGUGUUAGUAGAAGAGUGGCUGCUGCGGCUGCUUCUGCUGCAGAAGCUGCUGCUGCUGCUGGCGAGAGCAGUUUCAGAUCUUUUAUGGUUGCUGUACAACGGUGUGGCAGUAGUGUGGCUAUAGUUCAGCAAUAUUUUGCAAAUUCUAUAUCUCGCCUCUUACUACCUGUAGAUGGUGCUCAUGCGGCUUCAUGUGAAGAAAUGGCAACAGCUAUGUCUAGUGCAGAGGCUGCUGCAUAUAAAGGGCUUCAGCAAUGCAUUGAAACUGUUAUGGCUGAGGUAGAGAGAUUGCUUUCUGCUGAACAAAAGGCAACAGACUAUCGAUCACCAGAUGAUGGAAUUGCUCCUGAUCAUCGUCCCACAAAUGCUUGCACAAGAGUUGUGGCAUACCUUUCUCGUGUGCUUGAGGCUGCAUUUACUGCAUUAGAAGGUCUUAACAAACAAGCAUUCCUGACUGAACUGGGAAAUCGCUUGCAUAAAGGGUUGCUUAAUCACUGGCAGAAAUUCACUUUCAAUCCCAGUGGAGGUCUGCGGCUGAAACGUGACAUAACUGAGUAUGGGGAAUUUGUUCGGAGUUUCAAUGCUCCCUCUGUUGAUGAGAAAUUUGAAUUGUUGGGCAUAACGGCAAAUGUUUUUAUUGUGGCUCCUGAAAGCCUCUCCUCUUUGUUUGAGGGAACUCCCAGCAUCCGUAAAGAUGCGCAAAGGUUUAUUCAACUUAGGGAGGACUUCAAGAGUGAAAAACUUGCUUCCAGACUUGGCUCCUUGUGGACAAGUUCUAGUUGAUAAAGGAAUAGCAUCCUUCAUAUGUAACUUACCUCAUGCUUUGGAUUUCUUACAUCAUAGCAUCAGGUGUUAUGCUUUUCCUCGACCUCUUCCUAUGCCAUUGAGCCAUCUAUGGACAGGAAAUCAGGUUUUAUAUUGUUCGUUGGCUCUGGAAUAUUGGUGGAGAAAUACAGGGAGCCAGGGACUAUAGUUGAAAGGAAAGAGCAUCCAAUCUGUAGUAUCUUCUCCCUGCUAUGAAGUGGACUCGACUUUAAUAGUUUAAUAGUUUAACAUCUUUUGUUACAACAGUAAUCUAAUGCGGGACCCUUUUUCUUAAAACAGCUGUGUCUGUCCUAAUAAAAAAUUGGUGUAUGUUUUUUUUUUUUUUUUUUUUGGUAUUUCUCUACUUCUACAUUAGAAUUCAUUUUAUUUAAGAAGCUUUACGGGCUAGUUGACACAUGAACGUGAGAGAAUCUUUCAAGUCAUAGAAUACUUAUUUCAUUCUUAAAGUUAUAAGUUGCUUCCAUGCAAAAAGUUGUGUUUAAAUAAUAAUACGGUUUAUCUCAAUCACCGAAUGUAGUACUGCUAAUAGUCUUGUCUAAGAAUUUUUAAUAUUUGUGGUCUUGUCUAUGGAUUUCAACACACGACACACCAAAGGCUGCGAUAGACUGAUGAUACAGCCCGCACAAAUGAAGGUUGAAAUUGCGAGUACGAUUUUACCUUCACCAAAAGUUGAUGAAUCAUACAAUUGGGAAUAAAAAGUAUGGCUGGAGAUCAAGGAGAUACUUGUCAGUCACUGCCACUACUUUUGGUGGGUGCACACCGUUUUUACUAGUGUGGCACUUCUCUCCCAAUAUGAAGUGCUGCCCAUCUCUCUCCCAGGUACACACAUAAAUGGACUGAAAGAAAGU